AAACUUUCAACGACGGAUCUCUUGGUUCCGGCAUCGAUGAAGAACGCAGCGAAAUGCGAUAAGUAAUGUGAAUUGCAGAAUUCAGUGAAUCAUCGAGUCUUUGAACGCACAUUGCGCCCCCUGGUAUUCCGGGGGGCAUGCCUGUCCGAGCGUCAUUGC
rnacentral:rRNA from 1 species